rnacentral:rRNA from 1 species
AGGGUUCGAUUCUGGCUCAGGAUGAACGCUGGCGGCGUGCUUAACACAUGCAAGUCGAACGGAGUUUUUAACGGAAGUUUCGGAUGGAAGUUUAAGAACUUAGUGGCGGACGGGUGAGUAACGCGUGGGUAACCUGCCUCAUACAGGGGGAUAACAGUUAGAAAUGACUGCUAAGACCGCAUAAUAUAGCGAAACCGCAUGAUUUUGCUAUCAAAUAUUUAUAGGUAUGAGAUGGGCCCGCGUCUGAUUAGCUAGUUGGUGGGGUAAAAGCCUACCAAGGCGACGAUCAGUAGCCGGCUUGAGAGAGUGACCGGCCACAUUGGGACUGAGACACGGCCCAAACUCCUACGGGAGGCAGCAGUGGGGAAUAUUGGACAAUGGGGGAAACCCUGAUCUAGCGAACCGCCGCGUGAGUGAAGAAGUAUUUCGGUAUGUAAAGCUCUAUCAGCACCGGGAAGAUAAUGACAGUACCUGACUAAGAAGCCCCGGCUAACUACGUGCCAGCAGCCGC